rnacentral:rRNA from 1 species
UGGGGAAUCUUGGACAAUGGGGGCAACCCUGAUCCAGCCAUGCCGCGUGAGUGAUGAAGGCCUUAGGGUCGUAAAGCUCUUUCGCCUGUGAAGAUAAUGACGGUAGCAGGUAAAGAAACCCCGGCUAACUCCGUGCCAGCAGCCGCGGUAAUACGGAGGGGGUUAGCGUUGUUCGGAAUUACUGGGCGUAAAGCGCACGUAGGCGGACCAGAAAGUUGGGGGUGAAAUCCCGGGGGCUCAACCCCGGAACUGCCUCCAAAACUAUUGGUCUAGAGUUCGAGAGAGGUGAGUGGAAUUCCAAGUGUAGAGGUGAAAUUCGUAGAUAUUUGGAGGAACACCAGUGGCGAAGGCGGCUCACUGGCUCGAUACUGACGCUGAGGUGCGAAAGUGUGGGGAGCAAACAGGAUUAGAUACCCUGGUAGUCCACACCGUAAAACGAUGAAUGCCAGUCGUCGGGUAGCAUGCUAUUCGGUGACACACC